UGCAGUCGGGCGGUAACAGGAAGUGCUUGCACUUUGCUGACGAGCGGCGGACGGGUGAGUAAUGCAUAGGAAUCUGCCUGAUAGUGGGGGAUAGCCCAGAGAAAUUUGGAUUAAUACCGCAUACGCCCUACGGGGGAAAGGAGGGGAUCUUCGGACCUUCCGCUAUCAGAUGAGCCUAUGUCGGAUUAGCUUGUUGGUGAGGUAACGGCUCACCAAGGCGACGAUCCGUAGCUGGUCUGAGAGGAUGAUCAGCCACACUGGGACUGAGACACGGCCCAGACUCCUACGGGAGGCAGCAGUGGGGAAUAUUGGACAAUGGGCGCAAGCCUGAUCCAGCCAUGCCGCGUGUGUGAAGAAGGCCUUCGGGUUGUAAAGCACUUUCAGCGAGGAGGAAAGGAUGGUUGCUAAUAUCAACCGUCUGUGACGUUACUCGCAGAAGAAGCACCGGCUAACUCCGUGCCAGCAGCCGCGGUAAUACNNNNNGGNGCGAGCGUUAAUCGNAAUUNCUGGGCGUAAAGC
rnacentral:rRNA from 1 species